UUCUGGGGACCCUCAAUCUGCUCUUUGUCGGCCAGGUCCCUCUGUAGAGGGGACCGACACCUCGCCAAAGAGUAAGUUUUCCCAGAUCACCGUGAGGCACAUUUUUUGAGCGAACUGAGAAGAGGAGGGGGCCCUGCAGAAGGACCCCAAGGAGGACACUACACAAAGAAGAAUCAGAAGAUCUACACAUUCGUCAUGACAAGGAUGAGCUGAAGCACUGGUCAUACAACAUGUGCCUGUCCUGCUAGUCUGCUACCCUCCUGGCCCUGUGGAACCCUGAUUCCAGAGCCUUGGACAGCUGUUCAGUGUUUUGCCUCUGCUGUCAGACUGUCUGGAUUUGAACACUAGCCCAGACAUCCUGGACAAGUCAUGCAACCUCUCUAAGCCUGUCAUCAUCUGUAAAAAGGGUUUAACUAUAGUACAUUCCUCAGAUAGCUGAUGGGGGGCUGAAAUAAGAUAUUCUACGUAAAGUACUUAAUGCCUGGCACUUAGUAAGUAAUCUGAAAUUUUUAGCUAUUGCUGAAAACUAUUGUUUCUGGCACCAGUCCAUGAUUUCAGGAUCAAAGCUGACUUCUUUGGAGACUGCAAGGGACUUCCCUCAACUUGCACAGCUUAUUUGCCUCAGGUCUCACCCUGUCCACUGAUAACCCCUAGAGACCACACUAUGGGCCCCUGAACUCUCUCCUAGGAGCUGAUGUUCCCACAUAUCUACCUGCUGACCACCCAAGCCCUGACACAUGUACUUUUAAGGCCUAAUCUGUAGAAACACUUAUUAUUGACAAAACUCCCAUGGGUACUGUAUUUGAUUAUCUCCCUACCCUCCCUUUGAAACCCUUUGGUAUGGAGUGUCGGUAAAGCUAGAAAGGAAUUCCUUUAAGUAAGACGGCAGGUUGUGUGGACCCUGGAGAAGGAGCUGGUCAUUGCCCUUGGGGGCCCUGCUCUCUAUCUGAUGUAGACUAAUAUACAGACAGACAAAAGCUCACUCAAGAUACUGGACCCAAUGGAAGCCAGGCAGUCAGUCCAGGAGAGUUCAGAGAAGGGCCCUAGAGCAAGUAGGAGCCUCUAGUGACAAAUUGGGCUUGUCUAGGUAGAGAGACGAGGGAAGGGUGCUCCAGGCAGGGGGCACAGUUUGAACAAAGUGGGAGAGGCUGGAAAAUGCCAAGUUUUCUGGAAACCAGAUCAAUGGGAUUAUACUGGGAAGGUAGGGGUUGGGGGUGGGAUCGUGGAGGGCCUUGAACACCAAAGCUGAGUGGUGGUCUUGCAACCACAGGUGGUAGGAAGCCCUCUCUGAUGAGAAGACAAUUUUCCUGCACUUUUCCUAGCCCAGCAAGGAGGGCCCAGGCCACCUUCAAUACAUGUUGUUAACAUAGAUGCUGACACACACAUACAAUUACAUAUGCAUAGGAAAAAAUCUGAAAGGAUUCAUAACAAACUUUUAACAGUAUUUACACCUGAAGAAUAAGCUAAGGGAAAAGGAACUUUAGAGUUUUGUGUUGCAUGUUUUGGUAUUGUUUGAAUUCAUCAUGACAAGCAAAUAUCAAUUUUCUCAUUAAAACAACAAUAAAGCCUUUUUUCUAAGGCAAGAUUUGAUGAAUGAAUAAAUGAGUGACCGAAUGGAUGAAUGAGAUGGGUAAAUGAAGAGACAGUUUGGCAGAGGGCUCAGUCUCUCGCUCUAAACCUGUCUCCUCAGCAAAGAAGGCUAGGGAGUGGAAGGUGAGCUGGGCCCUUCUGGCUGGGCCAGGAGAAGUGCAAGAUAAUUGAGUAAGGCGUGGGCCCCACCCUAGAACAACUCUCUGCCUGGUCAGGGAGGCAGUCAGAAAUACAGUGUUAGAGACAACGAUAGGUGAUUCAGGAGCCAGGGGGCCUCAGAACUGGGGGGGGGUCUAGGGUCAGGGAGGGCCUCCCCUAGUAGCUGACGUUCAGGCAGAAACCUAGCUGCUGAGUAGCAGUUGGCCAGGCAGAGGAGCAAGAGGGAAAGAAUGUUCCAGGUAGAGGAAGGCUUGGCCAGCUGGGGCAUGAAAGGGCAGGGCCAACUGUGGACUGGUUAGUAAUAAUGCCUCUUUCUGCUCAGGGCCAGCAGUGCAGGGAGUGGCAGGAGGUAGAGCUGACUGAGAACUGGAGCCAGAUUGUGUACUUCAGCCCCAGGCAGCCCACAGAGGGUUUUAAGCAGAGACGUCUGAUUCCUGGAGGUCAUCAGAUGCAGCACAUGAUGAAGUCUGAACCGUGAGAGCAGAAGGGGAAAGAGAGGACAGAGGUCAGGAACUCACAUCCGCUAAGACCCUGCUGGUGGCUUAGCGGUUAAGAGCUUGGCCGCUAACCAAAAGGUCGGCAGUUCAAAUCCACCAGCCUCUCCUUGGAAACUCUAUGGGGCAAUUCUAUUCCACCAGCCUCUCCUUGGAAACUCUAUGGGGCAAUUCUACUCUGUCCUAUACGGUUGCUAUGAGUCCAUAUAUUCACUAACUAUUAUAUAGGUCAAGUCUAUGAAUAAAAUUCAGUUAACUAUGGUACU